rnacentral:tRNA from 1 species
GGGGAUGUAGCUCAGUGGUAGAGUGCUUGUCCCAUGCAGGAGGCCCUGGGUUUAAUUCUUAGCACCACCA